rnacentral:lncRNA from 1 species
CAUAUAGAAGUGGUCCCACAACUUCAAAGCUAUAAGCUGCCCAAUAAGUGAAACUUGAGCACUACCCUGAAUACCUCCAUGGCCUUUGUCUCAUAAUAAAACAAUAGUAGCAACAAGAAAAAUCAUAGGGGUAGAGAUGUAGCACCCACCUUUAACUCAAAAGGCAGUGGCUUUGCUCAAGUGAACCAAAGUGGUAGAUAUUUUUCAAGCAACAACUCCACACCAAACC